AUUCUAGUUUGGAUCAGUUAUUUUGCGAUGGGCCUGAGAUAGAAUUAAUUAGUUCUCUUGGGCUGGGAUUUUAAAUUGUGGAAAUUUUGGAGACGCAAGAAAAGGGAAAAGGUGUUCUCAAGUCACGAAAAUAAUCAAGUUUAUGAAAGAAGUACAGUUAAUUAAAUUUCCGAUUUAAUUAAUAUGCAAGUUUCUAAAAAUAAUUUCUAGAAGUGAACGAAGGAUAAAAGAAAUUAAUCAGGGGUAUGCAUUCUAAUUAAAGUUUAAGAAUUUCUCGAGUCUUAUUAGUACGUUGUUUGUUUUCAAAAGGCUAUCUCCGCAAGUUAAGGGUCGAGUCAGGAAAAUUCAAGUUAAGGAGUUUUAAGCGAACGAGGUUGAGCAGUGAUGACGGCGGGCAGUGUUGAGCAUAGACGAUGAAGAUUCUUCGAUAGAAUAGUACUCGGAUGCGACGUGUCUCCAUACAAGACGUUAUCUGCUCUUGACUCUUCCGUUGCAAUGUAAAAGUCGAGUUUGCGCUCUUUGUAUCGUGCACUCAUAUAUAUAUUAUUUGAGUUUUUUCGGUUCAA